AGUUACUAUGAUGUUCUGCUGUAGGCCUGUUAUCAUCGCGUGAGAUCUGAACCUUCUGAAAGAGUGUUUGAUCUUGGGUGUGUGGAUAAAGUUUUUUGCGCCGACCACGGAAUCACUAUCGUAAUUUUCGGGCGUUCACUGACAGUUCACAGGAAGUCUCGUGCGUCCGUCUGCCAUGAUUGCUGCUCGAUGGACCGAUGUAAUGGACAACUAUGCACAGAUAAUUCUUUGAACGGUAACUGGGCCAGUUGGUCGACAUGGUCUGCAUGUACAAUCACUUGUGGCACCGCGACACUUACGAGAACUAGAACAUGUACCAACCCACCACCUUUUAAUCAUGGAAACAAUUGCGAUGGGCCUUCCACGGAAAACAAGUCAUGCACGAUGGACCCAUGCCUUGACGGUCGCUGGACAUAUUGGACUGAAUGAAGUAGCUGCAGUAUCACGUGUGGGGGUGGACGUCGUCAGCAGUGGCGAGACUGCGCUCACAUGCCGGCAUCAUAUACCGGUGGGCCCUGUUUUGGACCACGUGUGGACUUUAGCGUGUGCAAUGAGAAUCCGUGCGAUAUGAGUAUAUAAGGUUUUGUUUGAUCAAGAUGUAUCUAAACAAUAUAUAAAAAACACCACC